rnacentral:misc_RNA from 1 species
UCGGGCAACUCGUUAUGACACUGAUGCUGGUUCGUUUUUUGUUAAAACAAACAGGAGUAUUGGACCAUCAAUGUUUGAGGGAGAGGCAUUGAGUUUAAAUGCUAUGUACGAAACAGGGUCAAUCCGUGUACCAAAACCAUAUAAAGUUGGAUCUCUGCCAACUGGUGGCUCGUAUAUCAUUAUGGAAUUUAUUGAGUUUGGUGCAUCUAGAGGCAAUCAGUCUGCAUUAGGAAGGAAGCUUGCUGAAAUGCACAAAGCGGCAAAAUCUGAGAAGGGGUUUGGCUUUCACGUUGACAAUACUAUUGGCAGUACUCCACAG